AGUGAUAAGCAAGGGAAAUGAGACCAGCUACCUGGAGAGUACCAGCUGCAUGCUGACCCUGAAGGUGAAUCGCUUUCACCCUGACCAUAAAGAAAAGCUAUGGAUCAGAAAGAGCAACCUAACCAUUCAAAUAAAGCAGUACAAGUACUCAAUUGCUGAAGAUGAUGAGUCUUCCAAGUCAUAUGUAAUGCAGCAAAUUUGGUUUCUGUUGUUCUGUGUACUAUGGUUAAUUUCUUGUACUCCAUGUUGGACUAUCCAAAGACUAGUAUUUGUUUUUUGGCACAUUUGUGUUGACUCUUCUUGUAUGCUACAACUUGGUUAUGUAUCAGUUUGAAUCUUUAAAUAAAAUAUUUGCUUUUAUGGUUGUCACAA